ACUGGCAAUGAACGCAUUCAUGCUCACGUUGGUCAUCAUCUCCGUCAACAGAUUCACAUUUUUUGUACGUGAAGUCUAAUCAAGAAAAUCAAACACAGAAGUGAGAGAACUCACCAUUUUCGAUCUCAGGCACGGCGAUGAAUCAGGUUUUCAUCUAUAAUGUGAUGUUUCGGUUUGCAAAGGAGCAGUUUUGGUUGCUUGAAAUGUUUGAACUAUUUUGUUGAUGUUGUUCACGCUUUAGGAUUAGUAUUACUUCAUGGUUUGUUUGGUAUGAAUUCUGACUUGUGUGUUUAUGCAACAAGAUUUCUUGGUUCAAGACAUGGUCAUUUGCAUAUGAGGUGAUUGGUAAGACAAAGCAAAAUGACACCAACUUUGCAUCUUAAAGUCACAUGUAUGAAUGGCAAGCCAAUGGUCAAAAUGGAAUUUGGAGAUUGGGAUUAGGAUUAGGAUGGGAUUGUAGAAAAGAUUAAGUUGACUUUGGUCAAAGUUGACCAAAAAGUCAACUGUUGACCAAAGUCAACAUUUGGUCACAGUUCAAAUUUUGUAUUUUUCUCUCAUGGGAUGGACAUUGUAAAUGUAUUGUAAAUGAUUUUGGAUGAAUUUGAAUGGUUUUGACUUGAUCAUGA